rnacentral:rRNA from 1 species
UAGGGAAUCUUCCACAAUGGACGCAAGUCUGAUGGAGCAACGCCGCGUGAGUGAAGAAGGUCUUCGGAUCGUAAAACUCUGUUGUUAGAGAAGAACACGAGUGAGAGUAACUGUUCAUUCGAUGACGGUAUCUAACCAGCAAGUCACGGCUAACUACGUGCCUAG